GACGAACGCUGGCGGCGUGCCUAAUACAUGCAAGUAGAACGCUGAAGAGAGGAGCUUGCUCUUCUUGGAUGAGUUGCGAACGGGUGAGUAACGCGUAGGUAACCUGCCUUGUAGCGGGGGAUAACUAUUGGAAACGAUAGCUAAUACCGCAUAACAAUGGAUGACCCAUGCCAUUUAUUUGAAAGGGGCAAAUGCUCCACUACAAGAUGGACCUGCGUUGUAUUAGCUAGUAGGUGAGGUAACGGCUCACCUAGGCGACGAUACAUAGCCGACCUGAGAGGGUGAUCGGCCACACUGGGACUGAGACACGGCCCAGACUCCUACGGGAGGCAGCAGUAGGGAAUCUUCGGCAAUGGGGGCAACCCUGACCGAGCAACGCCGCGUGAGUGAAGAAGGUUUUCGGAUCGUAAAGCUCUGUUGUAAGUCAAGAACGAGUGUGAGAGUGGAAAGUUCACACUGUGACGGUAGCUUACCAGAAAGGGACGGCUAACUACGUGCCAGCAGCCGCGGUAGUACGUAGGUCCCGAGCGUUGUCCGGAUUUAUUGGGCGUAAAGCGAGCGCAGGCGGUUUGAUAAGUCUGAAGUUAAAGGCUGUGGCUCAACCAUAGUUCGCUUUGGAAACUGUCAAACUUGAGUGCAGAAGGGGAGAGUGGAAUUCCAUGUGUAGCGGUGAAAUGCGUAGAUAUAUGGAGGAACACCGGUGGCGAAAGCGGCUCUCUGGUCUGUAACUGACGCUGAGGCUCGAAAGCGUGGGGAGCGAACAGGAUUAGAUACCCUGGUAGUCCACGCCGUAAACGAUGAGUGCUAGGUGUUGGAUCCUUUCCGGGAUUCAGUGCCGCAGCUAACGCAUUAAGCACUCCGCCUGGGGAGUACGACCGCAAGGUUGAAACUCAAAGGAAUUGACGGGGGCCCGCACAAGCGGUGGAGCAUGUGGUUUAAUUCGAAGCAACGCGAAGAACCUUACCAGGUCUUGACAUCCCGAUGCUAUUUCUAGAGAUAGAAAGUUACUUCGGUACAUCGGUGACAGGUGGUGCAUGGUUGUCGUCAGCUCGUGUCGUGAGAUGUUGGGUUAAGUCCCGCAACGAGCGCAACCCCUAUUGUUAGUUGCCAUCAUUCAGUUGGGCACUCUAGCGAGACUGCCGGUAAUAAACCGGAGGAAGGUGGGGAUGACGUCAAAUCAUCAUGCCCCUUAUGACCUGGGCUACACACGUGCUACAAUGGUUGGUACAACGAGUUGCGAGUCGGUGACGGCAAGCUAAUCUCUUAAAGCCAAUCUCAGUUCGGAUUGUAGGCUGCAACUCGCCUACAUGAAGUCGGAAUCGCUAGUAAUCGCGGAUCAGCACGCCGCGGUGAAUACGUUCCCGGGCCU
rnacentral:rRNA from 1 species